GACGAACGCUGGCGGCGUGCUUAACACAUGCAAGUCGAACGGAAAGGCUCCAGCUUGCUGGUGUACUCGAGUGGCGAUCGGGUGAGUAACACGUGGGUGAUCUGCCCUGCACUUCGGGAUAAGCCUGGGAAACUGGGUCUAAUACCGGACAGGACCGCACUCUGCUGUGUGUGGUGGAAAGGCUUUUCUGGUGUGGGAUGAGCUCGCGGCCUUACAGUUUGUUGGUGGUGGAAUGGCCUACCAAGACGGUGACGGGUAGCCGGCCCGAGAGGGUGGACGGGCACAGUGAGACUGGGAUUCGGCCCAGGCUCCUACGGGAGGCAGCAGCGGGGGAGAGUGCUAAAGGGGGAUGAGCCAGAGGCAGAGACGGCGCGGGGGGGAGGAAGGCCUUCGGGUUGUAAAUGUCUUUCGCUAUGAACGGAGCAUUUUGUGACGGUACCUGGAGAAGAAGCACCGGCUAACUACGUG
rnacentral:rRNA from 1 species